ensembl:lncRNA
AUGGCAGGAAUCUCUCUCAUAUUUUUACUUUUUGUCACAACUCUGUUCUUCACGGGGAGUGUAUCGGACAUCUGCCGAGGACCGCGCUGCUUUUCUGGUCACGACUGGAGCAGACCGUGCGUGGGAGCUCAGUGCCAAGGGCGCACGGACACAUCCGUGUCCCGACGGCAGCUUGACCACUCUGCACAAUCCAGGCAAGGACAAACCUAUCCGACUUACCAACACGACGCUCAUUUCCGUCAGCACAAAGCACAGAGCGCGCCCUUAGCACCGUACACAGUCAUCCAACCUCAGCACGGAGGCUUUACGCAGGCGGCAGGUACGGAUGGCACCAGGAGGACGAACCCGAGGACCAUCACGGCGGAGGUGUUCCACCCUGGCUGUGCCGGGGGCACCUGUCCGACGACUGUCUCUCAUCGCCCCACGAGUGAUGACAGCGCAACGCGGGAGUGCAAAGGCAUUGGAUGCAAACUGCCCUCCCGGAUGCGCCAGAGGAACGGUAAGCUUUGCGUUGGCGACGGCUGCAGCACGCAAGGAGACGACGGGAGAAGAAGCUCGUCACCUGUUCAUGUGACGGACAGAGCGGCACAAUUUCUGGACGAGCUCCCAGACCUGGGGUCGCAACGUGGAGCAUGGAUUCAGCUGACAUGUGACAUGAAACCAGGGAACAAUGACGUUCCCUCAGAGGAUGCUCUAGUCCUGCAGUUGCAGCUGUCUAAGAGUCAGGAAAGGUUCGUCGAGGCCCUCAAGGGCCAACAAAACGAGGUCAAGGAGCUACAGAGGCUGCUCAGUGAGCAGCAAGGAACGUUGGUCAGCCAGCAGAGAGAAAUACUUGACCAGCAGAGGAGGAUGUAUGAGCAGAUGGAGCAAGUAAAGGCUCAGUACAACAUACUGAUGGACAGCAUCAAACAAACAUCUUUCCAGAACCUCCAGGGGGAGCUGGACAGUCGCAUGGAAACCUUGAGUGGGCGGGUUAGAGCUCACCAAGCACAGCAGGCUCUCUCUUUGCACAAAGUGGACAUGGAGGCCACUGUGAUGGAGGUGGGUCGGCCCCUUUUGACCUGUGGCAGUUGUGGCCCUGAUGAGUACUGUGGCCACAGCAGUGGUCGUCCUCGCUGUGAGAAGUGCACCGUCUGUCCUGCCGGAUUCUUCCUGGUCGCCCAGUGUUCAGUACACGCAGACAGGAUCUGCCAGGACAGAGAUGAAUGUCUUGAAAUAGCUGAUCUGUGCGGAGGUCAACAGAAGUGUCUCAACACUCCAGGUGGAUUCAGAUGCCAGGACAUGACAGAGCGAGAAGCACUUUCAGGAAUGUGCGGCCACGGCUACUUCUUCAACUCAGAGAUGGAUGAGUGUCAAGCCUGCAAUGAGUGUGAUGGAGACACGGUGGUUUCUCCUUGCACUUUUACCACAGACACUGUCUGCUCUGGCCAUGCUGCCGGCCACAGUGCCCUCUCUCAGUCCUGGUCUGGAGAUGUGACUCUGCAGGGGGAAAAAGGACACAUGCUGGCUCAAGCCUUCCUCGGUGUGCAGCUUCACAUACAGGGAAGAGGCGAUGAUCUGGUAUCCACUGAGAGCGGGCAGCUGGUUCUGAGGCAGCAUGGUCUCAUAUGGCUGGAUGAGAAUCUCUCAGUGACCCAUGGUUGCCGCAGCUUCAUCCAAGUGUGUCUGCGCAUGAACAACACAGCCGGCUCUGAAGGUCGUGACCUCAGUGGGGUUCGUGUGGAGCAGCGGGAGGGUAGGUCGCUCCAAGGUGUUAGCAUCAGUGGGGUAGCAGAGGUCGCCCCAGGUCACAUCAUAUCCCUCUUCCUCCGGAGUGCCACCCACCACUGUAACCAAAGCACUGAAGGUCUGCAGCUGUUCGACCCCUCCGUUGCCCCACUCAGCCUCCUCUGGCUCUCGCAUGACACCGGUGCGGUUGCCAUGACAGCACAGGCAAUGGUCUCUGCACAUUACCACACAAACUAUCGCCCAGUCUUCCGUACCACCUCCACCUCUGACCCUUAUGUAGUAGGACUUACUCAUGAUGGUCGCGGGAUCCGGUUUGCAGAGAGUGGCACUGUGCGUUUUGUAUUCCAGCAGGCAUUGUACUCGAUGGGCCAGGCAUGCGUGAGUGAGGGCUUCCAAAUUCUGGCAUACCUCAACCGUAAUGGAACCAGCAUGGAGCUGCUCCGUGCCUUUAAACCAGGUGUCCAUUACCGAGACACAUCAAUAGCACUGUCUGGAGCAGCUCAAGUUGGCCCGGGAGACACACUGGGUUUUGAGAUUCUCUCUCCUGCGCAGUGCAACGUUCGCUUCUUUGGUGACGAAACGGGUAUCAGUAUUCUCAGUUUGGUUUGGGUUCCCGCUGCCAUUUCUUCAUCUCUUUCUGCCUCUGUGGCUAACACCGGCCUUCUCUCUGGAGCAGUUCGUAACAAGCCAUUGUUCUUCCACCAGACCAGUCCUCAAGUGACCCAAAUGGAGCUGCUGGUGAAGGGAUCCGCAGAUCACAGACGAGAUUUUGUAUUCAGAGAGGGCGGUACAGUCAGUGUUGCUCUGGAUCUCAAACUCAUUCACUCCUGCAGUUUGGUCAAGGUGACUCUGCUCAGACGAAGUGAUUUAGAGGGUUCAGGAGAGGGAUCGAGGCCUAUCCCUGUUGCCCAGCAGGUAGCUGGCCAGAUGUCUGAGGGCAGCCAGUGGGCCAGUGUGAGUCUGCGAGCGUCCUUCCAGGUUCACAACGGCACUGCGGUUUUCUUUAUACUAGACUGUGUGCGUGGACGAGUAAACCAGAUCAGCCAUCAAACAGGAAGUGGGGUAUCUGUCCUCUGGGUGGCAUCAUAAUGAAAGCCAGAUAGUAUGAUGUUUCUUCUUAUGGUCAAAAAUCAAACCGUGAAAGUAACGAUUUGACUUUUUGGAGACUUAUUCACUUUCCAGAGAGUUACAAAGGAAGAUUGACACCACUUUCAUCUGUUUUAAUAGAGAAGCAUUAACCAGUAGCUUGUUAGCUUAGUCUGACAUUGUAAACUUGUGGAAAUAGCUUCUAAGAUUGUCCACAAGUAAUCUGUGAGCACCUUUAAACCUAAUUCAUUUGUUUAAUGUAAAAAAUGACCAAUUAAAAAAUCAACACUUUGUGAUUCUUAUGCAGUGUUGUGUAGCUAGACUCCCAGGCUUUGUGCUAAGCUAAGCUAACUGACUUUUGCUUAACUUGCAGACGUCAGAGCAGUGCCAGUCUUUUUGCUUAUUAUUAUUUUAGGUCAGAGUUAACCGUGCUUUCCAAACCUGAAUUUAUCCCUUGAUUUUGGUUUGAGUUUAAAAGAAAAUGUCUUUUAAAAAUGCUAAAUGUGGACUGUAGUGUAUUUAAAUGUAACAUUAUUCAUUAGCUAUAUUUAUAUAACUAUUAAUAUUGUGUCAUGAUUUCUACAUAUGAUAGCACAAAACAACUGUAUUCAUGUGAUAAUUUCUCAUUCUCCAGUUCUUCUUUUUUUAGUUCCAGUUUUUCACGUUUCCCAUUUGUCUGUUUUUUAUUUAUAUAAUUCAGUUUACUCUGUUGACGCCAAAGGAGUUUUAGAUCCUGCCAGUGACUACAGCAUUUUCUGCUGGCACUGAUUCUCAUUCAGGAGUUUUUACCAAGAGCAUGUGUUUCAUGUUAGCCGCCAUUUUCUAAAUGGCUAAAUAUCUACUGCAUGCUUUGUUUAAUGACCACUUUGUGCAUAUUAUGGACUUAAAGUCACUAAGCCUUGUUGAAACUAAAUAUUUUAAAUAAUGUACUGGCGUUUAAUCUUAACUGAACUGUAAUGAAGUGUAUAUUUGAUGUUUUCUUGUUAAUCCAAUAAAAUCACCUUUGUUGUACUGGAUUUUUCUUUAUUGCAAACUUUGUUUGGCAUGAAGUAAAGUCAUUUAAAGUGAGAUAAAGUUUGAAAGAAGAACGUUUGGUUCCUUUAAAUUACAACUUUUUAUU